rnacentral:lncRNA from 1 species
UUCCUGUAUUUAUAUAUGUUAUAUGCUUGAUUUAUACAUAUACAAAUGCACAUACAUACAUAGUGUGUUUGUGUGUUUAUGUAUAAAUAUAUAGGCACAUGGUAAUAGAGAUAAUUAUAGGUAGAUGCAGUAUGAAUAAUUUGCUUACGUCUGCUAAAGAACCAAAACUCAUUAAUGUCCCGUUGCAAUUAGAGCUUCCAUUCUCUAUGUGGGUAGGACAUCACACUUUUCAACUCUGUGCCGUACUGUAUGGAUGGAAGACAUAUUUAAGAUAAUGUGCUUCCCCAAACAACAAAAUAAAAGCCAUCUCACUAGGGUUCUUUCUUUGGCUCCUUGCAAAGGAAAGUGCAGACUGAAAUAGAGCUUCUUAUGUCGAAGUCCAGGAAAGAAAGGUUAAUUUUUUUGGCCGUUUUACACAUUUGUAUGAUGUUCGCCUUGUCCCACUGUAACCCUUUACACUUGUGUCCAUAGUUGAAGUAGUCCAGAUACAAACUGGAAUGUUGGAGGCAAAUAAGAAGAAAUUCAAGUGAUGAGCGAUAGAAGCAAGUCUUAGGAAUGUCUACAUCCAAGUGCAAAUGUACCAACCAAUGGUGUAAAGUACUGUAUUUUGCAGAGCCUCAGACAACAAGAUUCCCUGGUCAACAAUGAACAUUUUUUGGACCUUUCUUUUUGCAAAUUGAAUAUAAUACAAACAAUGUUAAAUUGUAUCUAAUUUUUAAAAUGACUGCAUAUACACACAUUCCCUUAAUUCUCUUGAUUCUCCUAACACUUUUUCUCCCCUAUUUGAGGACUUUAUUUCCAGUGUUGACCUUCAGUUUAGCCCUAUAACUCUUUUACGUGAAAUCUCAUGAAAGGAAUGGCUGGUAUAACCUAGCUCUCCCAGAAUGUCUAAGUUCACAGUCACCCAAUUCUUCACAAUGUGUAAUUGGAAUACACAGACUCAGGUUGUGAUAGUUUAAAUAAAUUUCAAAUGUUAUUCUAAAGAAUCAGAGGUGGGAGGAUCAUAGUUAAAAUGAAAGGGUACAGGAAAGGGUAUUUUCUUGUUGUCAGGGCUGGAAUGAAUCACUGCUGCUCAAGUCAAAGGUUCUUGAACAUAUUUAGUUUUUUCCACUCCUCUUUCUUUCCCUUUGACUUUUAUUUAUUUAACUAUGUAUUUAUUUACUCACACACUUGCACCAUUCAUCACAAACACAAAGCAAAGCAAAAAAAAUACAUAUACUUAUAUGUGUUGCAGGCAAAACACUGUGAAUCUCACAACCACCACCAAGCAACUACUCUGCCAUCCUAACACGUCUCAGGUGAUGGAAUGGGAAAAGAGGAGAAUGCCAGUGUUCAGUUUAUGCAUUCUAGGCCAGGUCUGUUUAUUUUAUUUAUUUGGUCUGUGCAUUAAUAAAAACGAUCUUGAGUAAAAGUUGGCUGAACAUUCAACAUACAAGAGCAAGAAAAAUAAAAGCUGCUAGUAGCCAUGUGUUUUAACAAGGAGAUAAAUUGAAGAAAAUGAUAUGUAAAGGCCUCUAUAUCUUGCAGCUUGUAUAUCUUAUUAUUGCUUUUUAAAUGUAUAAAACAGCUGGAAAUGUUUCAAAUACAAGGCCUUUGAAUUCAGUGUGGAUUUUAAAUAUGUAAUCCCUUGACAAAUGACAAAAUCAUGUUGAAAUAUCGCUCCUUGCAUCCCCUUGAUCAUUACUCAUUUGAAAAUCUGCCUAGAGGUGUGGACGCUCUACAUUUGCUUCUGUAUCUGGAGAGAUGUUUGUAUAUAUCCAGGCCGUAGAACAUUCAUUUCAAUACUCUCUGCAGAUCCAUCUCCCCUCAAUGGUGACCUGGUAUUUGGAACUCUCUCUCUUUUCAUUUGGUUUAUUUUUCUUUUAAUGUGUUGUCUCUGUGCUGACACUUAAUAGUUCUUGUUUUGCAAUCUGUUUUGAGGACAAUUGCUUUACUAAGAUCCACUGCAUCUUGGCUGAUUUCAAAGUGACACCUGAACACAGUGUUUAAAAAAGUUUUGUUUGUAAAUCAUGUGACCAGCUUCUCUCAACCUGACAUGGAAAGUCUCUUGUACUACAGUGUAUUUAUUAAAAAUGAUGUCUUACAAUAAAUAACAUCCUCCAAAAGAGAGACUUAAAGUGACAUGAUUACUUUUUAAAACUGUAUAGAUUUCCACAAAGCAUGCUGUGCUCUUGUUUUGUAUGCAUACAUAUAUGUGUGCGUGUUUAGAUGUGGUCACUGUGGAUGCUGCCAUGUUCAGUGAUUGAAGGAAGUGAGCAUAUGUGGCCCUAGCUACAAGUUUCCUGGAUGACCUCUCCA